CUGCCUAUUUUCUCAUAAUGCCCACUGCUGCAAGGAUUCAGUGCUCAAAGUGGGGGAUGGUGGUGGGGGAGGACUAGGUAAUUUCAGCAUGAAAAAUGUCAUUUUGCCUCAAGCAAACUGCCUUCCUAUGGCCUCGCUCCUUUGUGUGGUUUGGAUUAGGCAUAUCCAGAGGAUCAUUUGCCCAAUACUAACAAGAAGGCUCGCUGAGCUCAUUUGUUAGCAGACGUAAUGGGACUUCCUCUCACUGGCAAGAACAGCAGCCACCCAGAGUCACUGAUUGCUAUUCAUCUGUCACCAAGGAAAAAUCUCUCUUCUUCCCCCCCCCCCCAAACACACACACAAACACACACACACACACACACACACACACACACUCACACAUUUAUGCACACACCAUAGAAUUACAUUUGCACCUGUAGGGUUUCUCUUGAAGAAAUCCAAACCCAUCCACUUUCACAGGACCCCCCCCCCCCCCAUCCCUUUCUUUUUUUCUUUGCUAUUUUGGGCUUAAGGCCAUCUGGUUUAGGAGACAGGCUCUUCACUCUGAGGCCGCUAAUGAAUCUGACUCUUCCUGUCUAACUCCUCAAUAUCGUUUGCUUCCUAAACACUAAACGCGAGCUGUGUUUCCUUUCUCCUCUUCUUCAAGCACACAUGUUCAUUACCUGGAACUUUGGGGGGCCGUGCAUUUGUUGCUGUCCAGCAUCGGAUUUCAUUUUUAGCUCUCUGAGAACCUCAGGUGGCUGCACUGAUGAGACCUCCAGUGGCCUGAGAGAUACCAAGCCGUGUCCCCUCACACAGGUGCCACUCACAGGACAGAGGAGUCUGGAUGUGAUGGGGGAGAGACAGAAACCAGCACUCGGUAUCUUCGCUGAGAAGUGGAGAGCAGUAUCUGGCUCCGAGUGUUGAACGGCUCAUUGCCUCUGCUGUUCCUGUCUUCCUUCAUGUUAAGAAAACAGAAGAUGCAGUCAAACUUUGAGUUAAUGGGUCUGCUCCAUUCAUUAUUUACCCAGGGUGGUGCUUUAUCACAGAGGCUCCUAAGUGUUUGACAAAGAAGGCAUCUCAUUAGCGCCUGGGAGGUUAUGGGUUGGCCAGAUGGUGGCUGUUUUCUUCUUUUCCUGGAGAGAGGCACAAGUGUCUCAGACUGUGUGGCAGCGGUUUCAGUUCUGAGGAUCCUAGCAAGCAAGUCACGUGCCUUCCUUCCUGAGUCCUGCCUUACACUUUGGUAAACGUAAAAAGCAAACACUUUCCAGUCUCUUGCUGGCAUGUAGGUGCUGCAGAGAUGGUGUUUAUGUGCGACAGAGUCCUACAGAAACAAGGGAAGAGUAGCUCCCAGGUGCAGCUAGUAUCCUUGACCUAGUAGCUAUUCUCAGCCCUGGGCAUACUGACAAAGGAGGUGGGGAGGGGUGACUCAUCACCUUUGAUUCUUAGCUAGUGGCAUAUGUAUGUAUGUAUGUAUGUAUGUAUGUAUGUAUGUAUAUAUGUAUAUAUGUAUGUAUAUAUGUAUGCAUGUAUAUGUGUACAUAUAUAUAUAUACACACAUACAUAUAUAUGUUAUUCAGUAUCAGAAAACUAGUUAAAUGUAGGUCUUUUAGGUCUUUCCCCUUCUAAGAACCAGGGGCAAAGAGAACCAUACCCUAAUUAAUUAAUACAGGAAUAGGAAAAGUUUUAUUAUGGUAUACAAUGAAUGAGGAGCUGGUUCACAUCUUUUAUGCUGAACAAAAUCUAGUAAUUCCAACGAUAACACUAAUCAUCACAGAGCAGCAAGGGCUGUUUACUUAGUACUUCUGCAUGUCUCUGUUGAACUUGAUGCUGGAUGAGCACCAGCUAGUUUAGUCACCAGGCCAGUCUUAAGAGGUUUUCAUGUAGCAUAAAUUAAGCACCCAGUCCACAUCAUUUUAGGCAGUUAGGAUGGGUCUGGGAACGAGACAGCAGUGGAUAACAGGCAGUUGUCGUAGUAAA
rnacentral:lncRNA from 1 species